rnacentral:rRNA from 1 species
UAGCUAGUUGGUAAGGUAAAGGCUUACCAAGGCGAUGAUGCAUAGCCGAGUUGAGAGACUGAUCGGCCACAUUGGGACUGAGACACGGCCCAAACUCCUACGGGAGGCAGCAGUAGGGAAUCUUCCACAAUGGACGCAAGUCUGAUGGAGCAACGCCGCGUGAGUGAAGAAGGUUUUCGGAUCGUAAAGCUCUGUUGUUGGUGAAGAAGGAUAGAGGUAGUAACUGGCCUUUAUUUGACGGUAAUCAACCAGAAAGUCACGGCUAACUACGUGCCAGCAGCCGCGGUAAUACGUAGGUGGCAAGCGUUGUCCGGAUUUAUUGGGCGUAAAGCGAGCGCAGGCGGAAGAAUAAGUCUGAUGUGAAAGCCCUCGGCUUAACCGAGGAACUGCAUCGGAAACUGUUUUUCUUGAGUGCAGAAGAGGAGAGUGGAACUCCAUGUGUAGCGGUGGAAUGCGUAGAUAUAUGGAAGAACACCAGUGGCGAAGGCGGCUCUCUGGUCUGCAACUGACGCUGAGGCUCGAAAGCAUGGGUAGCGAACAGGAUUAGAUACCCUGGUAGUCCAUGCCGUAAACGAUGAGUGCUAAGUGUUGGGAGGUUUCCGCCUCUCAGUGCUGCAGCUAACGCA